GACGAAGGUGGCGAGCGUUGCUCGGAAUUACUAGGCGUAAAGCGUGAGCAGGCGGUUCGGUAAGUCCGUUGUGAAAGCCCCGGGCUCAACCCGGGGAGGCCAAGGGGUACUGCCGGACUUGAAUACGGGAGAGGUUACUGGAAUUCCUGGUGUAGCGGUGAAAUGCGUAGAUAUCAGGAGGAACACCGAAGGCGAAAGCAGGUAACUGGACCGUUAUUGACGCUGAGUCACGAAAGCCGGGGGAGCAAACAGG
rnacentral:rRNA from 1 species